UCUGGCUGUAGGAAGAGUUGGGUCUACU
rnacentral:piRNA from 1 species